GUUUCUGUAGUGUAGUGGUGAUCACACUUGCCUCACACGCAAGAGGUCCCCUGUUCAAAACAGGACAGAAACA